CCUCCCCACCGUGCGGCCGGCACCUGUGACGUCACAGCCAGCACCAGCUGACGGCGGGAGGAGGAAGAGGCGGCGGGGCGGGCCACGCUUUUUUAAAGAAGGAGGCGGGGCCGCCUCAAUGGGGCGUUGUAAGAAACCUGGGGCUCGGGAUAAAUCCAAAGUGGUUGCCUUCAGGCUGCUUGAUUUUUAACGUAGUCGAGAUGGGCUGUCCUUCAGCCUUCAGGAAGCAAAGACUGCUUGCCACCUGCGCUGGUUAUCAGCAGUGCCUGUGUGUGAUCACCUGGCGCUGUGCAUUGACAAAGUUCUCUGCCAUUAAGCAGGGGGUGUUUUUGUGAGAGGACGUUUCCAUGUGGAAGCGGACGCUCUGUAACUCAGGGAUAACGAGCCAAUGUGUGGUAGUUCACAAAGGUGUUUUCUCACCUCAUCCUGCAAAGAGCCUCACAUUUCCAUUUUAAUUGGGGAACUUGUAUUCAUCACUGAUGAUCCAGCUCAAUAUCUGCCAAAAUCAAAUUUUCAGCAAAUUGCAAAUCAGUCCAAGACACCUAGAGGUAUAAAAAAUACCUGGAAAGACCUAAGCAAAGCAACACAGUGUGCAGGCCCUGUGCCUCAGUGGAGAAAUUGUCCAGAUAGUCCCAGGAAUUCAAAGACAAUGUCAAAGCCCUACUCCCCAUCUGGGUGGACCAAUGUCUCUAGUAUUAGAGAUUGA
rnacentral:lncRNA from 1 species